CCCUUAGAUGUUCGGGGCUGCACACGCGCUACACUGGAGGAAACAGCGUGUAUUGUCCUGGUCCGAAAGGACUGGGUAAACCUGUGAAACUUCUCCGUGCUUGGGAUAGCGGAUUGAAAUUGUUUCGCUUCAACGAGGAAUUCCUAGUAAGCGUAAGUCAUAAGCUUGCGCUGAUUACGUCCCUGCCCUUUGUACACACCGCCCGUCGCUCCUACCGAUUGGGUGUGCUGGUGAAAUGUUCGGAUCGGCCGUUUGUCGCGGUUUCCGCGUCAUGUGGCUGAGAAGUUCAUUAAACCCUCCCACCUAGAGGAAGGAGAAGUCGUAACA
rnacentral:rRNA from 1 species